rnacentral:rRNA from 1 species
UACAGAGGUGGCAAGCGUUGUUCGGAAUUACUGGGCGUAAAGGGCUCGUAGGCGGCCAACUAAGUCGGAUGUGAAAUCCCCAGGCUUAACUUGGGAACUGCAUCCGAUACUGGAUGGCUUGAAUCCGGGAGAGGGAUGCGGAAUUCCAGGUGUAGCGGUGAAAUGCGUAGAUAUCUGGAGGAACACCGGUGGCGAAGGCGGCAUCCUGGACCGGCAUUGACGCUGAUGAGCGAAAGCCAGGGGAGCAAACGGG